AAUAGAUACCCGGGUAGUCCACGCCGUAAACGGUGGGCACUAGGUGUGGGCGGCAUUCCGCGUCGUCCGUGCCGUAGCUAACGCAUUAAGUGCCCCGCCUGGGGAGUACGGCCGCAAGGCUAAAACUCAAAGGAAUUGACGGGGGGCCCGCACAAGCGGCGGAGCAUGUGGCUUAAUUCGACGCAACGCGAAGAACCUUACCAAGGCUUGACAUACACCGGAAAACCGUGGAGACACGGUCCCCCUUGUGGUCGGUGUACAGGUGGUGCAUGGCUGUCGUCAGCUCGUGUCGUGAGAUGUUGGGUUAAGUCCCGCAACGAGCGCAACCCUUGUCCUGUGUUGCCAGCACGCUCCUUCGGGGGGUGGUGGGGACUCACGGGAGACUGCCGGGGUCAACUCGGAGGAAGGUGGGGACGACGUCAAGUCAUCAUGCCCCUUAUGUCUUGGGCUGCACACGUGCUACAAUGGCCGGUACAAUGAGCUGCGAUACCGCAAGGUGGAGCGAAUCUCAAAAAGCCGGCCUCAGUUCGGAUUGGGGUCUGCAACUCGA
rnacentral:rRNA from 1 species